AAAUUGAAGAGUUUGAUCAUGGCUCAGAUUGAACGCUGGCGGCAGGCCUAACACAUGCAAGUCGAGCGGUAGCACAGAGAGCUUGCUCUCGGGUGACGAGCGGCGGACGGGUGAGUAAUGUCUGGGAAACUGCCUGAUGGAGGGGGAUAACUACUGGAAACGGUAGCUAAUACCGCAUAACGUCGCAAGACCAAAGUGGGGGACCUUCGGGCCUCAUGCCAUCAGAUGUGCCCAGAUGGGAUUAGCUAGUAGGUGGGGUAACGGCUCACCUAGGCGACGAUCCUAGCUGGUCUGAGAGGAUGACCAGCCACACUGGAACUGAGACACGGUCCAGACUCCUACGGGAGGCAGCAGUGGGGAAUAUUGCACAAUGGGCGCAAGCCUGAUGCAGCCAUGCCGCGUGUGUGAAGAAGGCCUUCGGGUUGUAAAGCACUUUCAGCGGGGAGGAAGGCGAUAAGGUUAAUAACCUUGGCGAUUGACGUUACCCGCAGAAGAAGCACCGGCUAACUCCGUGCCAGCAGCCGCGGUAAUACGGAGGGUGCAAGCGUUAAUCGGAAUUACUGGGCGUAAAGCGCACGCAGGCGGUCUGUCAAGUCGGAUGUGAAAUCCCCGGGCUCAACCUGGGAACUGCAUUCGAAACUGGCAGGCUAGAGUCUUGUAGAGGGGGGUAGAAUUCCAGGUGUAGCGGUGAAAUGCGUAGAGAUCUGGAGGAAUACCGGUGGCGAAGGCGGCCCCCUGGACAAAGACUGACGCUCAGGUGCGAAAGCGUGGGGAGCAAACAGGAUUAGAUACCCUGGUAGUCCACGCCGUAAACGAUGUCGAUUUGGAGGUUGUGCCCUUGAGGCGUGGCUUCCGGAGCUAACGCGUUAAAUCGACCGCCUGGGGAGUACGGCCGCAAGGUUAAAACUCAAAUGAAUUGACGGGGGCCCGCACAAGCGGUGGAGCAUGUGGUUUAAUUCGAUGCAACGCGAAGAACCUUACCUGGUCUUGACAUCCACAGAACUUUCCAGAGAUGGAUUGGUGCCUUCGGGAACUGUGAGACAGGUGCUGCAUGGCUGUCGUCAGCUCGUGUUGUGAAAUGUUGGGUUAAGUCCCGCAACGAGCGCAACCCUUAUCCUUUGUUGCCAGCGGUUAGGGCCGGGAACUCAAAGGAGACUGCCAGUGAUAAACUGGAGGAAGGUGGGGAUGACGUCAAGUCAUCAUGGCCCUUACGACCGUGGCUACACACGUGCUACAAUGGCAUAUACAAAGAGAAGCGACCUCGCGAGAGCAAGCGGACCUCAUAAAGUAUGUCGUAGUCCGGAUUGAGUCUGCAACUCGACUCCAUGAAGUCGGAAUCGCUAGUAAUCGUAGAUCAGAAUGCUACGGUGAAUACGUUCCCGGGCCUUGUACACACCGCCCGUCACACCAUGGGAGUGGGUUGCAAAAGAAGUAGGUAGCUUAACCUUCGGGAGGGCGCUUACCACUUUGUGAUUCAUGACUGGGGUGAAGUCGUAACAAGGUAACCGUAGGGGAACCUGCGGUUGGAUCACCUCCUUACCUUAAAGAA
rnacentral:rRNA from 1 species